GUUGCCGUUGCCGUUGACUUUGCAUCAUUAUUUUUAAGAUUUGCAACAAUUAAAAUUACCAUCGCCACCAUCAUCUUUAACGCCGUCACCAGCUGAUAUCGCACUCAUCAUCAAUCAACACCUCCUCCAUCACCUUUAAUGCCACCACCAACAUCGUACCAUCACCUUCAACACCCGUAACAGAAGUAUCGCUACCAUCAUCAUUCAGCACCGGAACCAGCAAAAUCGCACCAUAAACAUUCCCCGCCCUUACCAGCAAAAUCACCUUCAACAUCGCCACUAUUACUUUAAGGCCACCACCAACAUCACCUUCAUCGCCGGCACCAGCAAUGUUAUACACAUCCACAUCAAUGGUCCUGUGCAAUAAUGACACAAUUCAAAAUUCAAAAA